CACACACACACACACACACACACAGUAAUAGCUCUGAUGACUGUGAGCACCAACACAGAACACAGUGUAUUCCACAUGGAGACAGCACUGCUCCUCAUCCUCAUCAUGGCAGCAGAUAUAAUUGCUGACCAAAUCAGUCCUAUGCAGGAAUAUUUUACAAAGGUUGAAGAUGAAGCUGUCAAGCUGAAAUGCUCUUAUAAAACAAGCUCCACCUAUGCUACUCUUUGCUGGUACAGGCAGUAUCCUCACCAAGCACCUGUUUUUUUGUUAUGGAAAGAUGGGAAAGGUGGUUCAUCUGAACACAUCCCUGACAAACGAUAUGAAUCCAAAACCUCAGAAACAUCCACAGAGCUCCAUAUUAAACGUCUGACUCUGGCAGACACAGGCCUCUACUUCUGUGCUCUGUGGGUCGCCCAGUGAUACAAACUCACUGUGGAGCUGUACAAAAACUCAGAGGCAAACAGAAGUAUUUUUAUGAAGAGAUAUCAAAGUAAUUUCCUGUUCUUGGUUUAAUAUCAGUUAACCGCCAUCUAUGGUUAUAAAUUGAGCGAUUGUGGUUACACCUGUUAUUUGAAUGUGGAUAACAUCCUGUAUAAAGUG